AAGUCGUAACAAGGUUUCCGUAGGUGAACCUGCGGAAGGAUCAUCACGAGAGGGACGCCGCAAGGCGCACCACAACACUGUGUUGCCGAGCGAUGAGUGCAGCGCAAUGUGCUGCACACGUCUAUUGACACCAUGCAAACUGAAUCAGCCCUAAUAGCAACCAACAACAAACACAACUGUUAGCAACGGAUCACUUGGUUCUC
rnacentral:misc_RNA from 1 species